rnacentral:rRNA from 1 species
CAGUAGCCGCGGUAAAACGUAGGGUGCAAGCGUUAAUCGGAAUUACUGGGCGUAAAGCGUGCGCAGGCGGUGUUGUAAGACUGAUGUGAAAUCCCCGGGCUCAACCUGGGAACUGCAUUGGUGACUGCAACGCUGGAGUGCGGCAGAGGGGGAUGGAAUUCCGCGUGUAGCAGUGAAAUGCGUAGAUAUGCGGAGGAACACCGAUGGCGAAGGCAAUCCCCUGGGCCAACACUGACACUGAGGCACGAAAGCGUGGGGAGCAAACAGGAUUAGAUACCCCAGUAGUCCCUGUCUCUUAUAC